rnacentral:rRNA from 1 species
UAGGGAAUUUUCGUUCAAUGGGCGCAAGCCUGAACGAGCAAUGCCGCGUGAGUGAGGAAGGUCUUCGGAUCGUAAAGCUCUGUUGCAGGUCAGAAAGAAGGGAAG